GGGAGCAAGACUUUCGCCCCUGCCGGCCUUCAGAAGAGGUCCUGGACCUCUUCUGAAGGCCGGCGGGGGCGAAAGUCUUGCUCCC